GGGCUAUAGCUCAGUGGUAAGAGCAACUCCCUUACAUGCAGAAGGUCCCAGGGUCAAUCAUUGGCUUCUCCA